AUGGUAACUGUCCACAGUAAUCAGAAGAGAUGUCUCCCGCCUAUAGGUACCCACGGCGCCAAGAAGCGGGUAUCGUGCGCAGCGUACAACAGGUGCGAGCCGGCGUGCACUGCAGCUGGCGACAGCCUCCGGGCUCGCCGACUCCCUCCGCGCUCGCCAGCUCCUUCCCAGCAAGCACCGCGCACAUUUGCAUAUCAGUUACGUCCUUGCCUUUACUUGCAUAUAAAAAAUCGAAAGGACAAAUCACAAAAGUCUCCCUGUGAAGAUUGCCCUACGGCUCAGCAUGUCUUGCAGUUCCCCACUUCAACCUGAGGAAGAGGAAUUAGGAAAUUGCUUGCACUUUGUUUUCACCUUUAUCGAAAGAGGGUUUCGCCAGCACUGCCACCCUGUUUAUGGGCCCGGCAAGGCAAAAAGGGCUUCUGUCGUGAGUGGCACACGUAGGGCAGCUCCAUUGCUCUUCGUGCGGAAUCGACAUCAAGAGAUUUCGGAAGCAUAAUUUUUUGGUACCUGGGCAGCUGGUGAUCGUUGGUCCCGGCGCCCCUGUCAGAAGUUAACUAAUGUAAGAACUUUUGCGUUGUUCUGAUGCUUACGCCUAAGAAGUUAUAGGGAGUAACUGAAAUCUCCAACGUGUAAAAAGCUCGACAACGUGCUGGUUAGAUUAGCUAAGUCAACUAUUUACGAGAAGCAUCAAAGGACUGUGGUUACACACUGUGGUUUUUCACAGUAAAGCGGGUGAUGGCUGACGUAGGAAAAGCGGCUGUUUUUCCAUUUCACAGGUUAGGGAAUGGAGGUUUGAGCAAAGUAAAGUUACAUGUUUAUUCAAGGGCACUCUGGAGUCCAGAGGGACUAUCCAGACUAAGUGUCUGCUUGCAGGGGUGAUUGAAUCAGCAAACAUAACUGAUUUUAUAAAAAUUCUUCCCCUCAACCAGGCGUAUACAUCCCUUUCUAAAGCUGUGUUAAAAAAAUAAAUAAAUAAAAAUAAAAUGAAGCUGUGUUAAUGUUCUUUCGAUAGCUUUUGGCCUUUAAAAACAGAAGCAAUAGGGAUCCCCGGCUGGCUCAGCAGUUUAGCGCCUGCCUUUGGCCCAAGGCGCGAUCCUGGAGUCCCCGGAUCGAGUCCCACGUCGGGCUCCCCACGUCGGGCUCCCUGCAUGGAGCCUGCUUCUCCCUCUGCCUGUGUCUCCGCCUCUCUCUCUAUCAUGAAUAUAUAAAUAAAUCUUCAAACAAACAAACAAACAAAAAAAAACAGAAGCAAUAGUUUAAAGUAUCAGUUUAGCACUUUCUUACUGCUGGCUACCAACAACCUUUCUGGAUAACUAUUCAACAAAGAGGUAAGAAUCUAAAACCUUCAAAAAAAAAAAAAAAAAUCUCUCAGAGCACUUGGGUGGCUCAGCCGCUUGGGUGGGUGACAAUCUGCCUUUGGCUCAGGUUGUGAUCCUGGGGUCCUUGGAUUGAGUCCCGCAUCCAGCUCCCUGCAGGGAGCCUGCUUCUCUCUUUGCCUGCCUCUCUGACCCUCUCUCUGUGUCUCUCAUGAAUAAAUAAAAUUAAAAAAAAAUCAUCUCUCAAGAAUGUAUCCUCAUAUGUAAAACUAUGUUUAAAAGGAGAUUUAGGGACACCUGGCUGGCUCAGCCAGAAGAGCAUGGGAUUCUGGAUAUCCCUGUGGUGAGCUGGACCUCCACCUUGGGUGUGGAGAUUAUGGGGGGUGGGGGGAGGGAGCAACUAAAAAACUAAAAAAAAAAAAAAAAAAAAAAAAGAUUUAGCAAGGGGUUCAUCCAUUGUAACAACAAGUGUAUACUAGUGAUUCAAUAUACAGUUGACCCUUGAACAACAUGGGUUUGAACUGCACAGUCCACUCUCAUCGUAAUAUAAAUGUAUUUUUUCUCCUUUGUCUUUUUUUUUUUUUUAAAGUAAGCUCUAUGCCCAAGGUGGGUCUUGAACUUAUACUUCUUCAAGAGUUGCAUGCUCCACUGACUGAGCCAGCCAGGUGCCCUUCCCUUAGAAUUUUAUUAAUAGCAUUUUCUUUUUUCUAGUUUUUUAUUAUAAGGCUGCAGCAUAUAAUACACAUAAUACAAAAACAUGUCUUAAUCCACUGUUUAUGUUAUCAGUAAGACUUCUAGUCAACAGAAUGCAGCUUUAGGGGAGUCAAAAGUUAUACUGGGUGGGGAGUUAUACUCGGAUUUUUUAAAAAAGACAUUUCUUUUAGAAAGAGGGGGUAAAUGUGAGCAAGAGCAGGGUGAGGAACAGAGGGGGAGGGAGAGGCAUAAGCAGAAUCUUCGCUGUGUGUGGAGCUUGGUUGAGGCUUGAUGUGGGGCUCUAUCCCAUGACCCAGAGACCAUGUCCUGAGCUGAAAUCAGGAGCUGGAUGCUCAACUGACUGAGCCACCCAGUUGCCCCUAUAGUGGUAUAUUUUACAGUAGGGAGAGUGGGUAGGGGUUGGCGCACCCCUAACCUAUGCAUUGUUCAAGGGUCAAGUGUAGUAGUGAUCCAUCAAGUGUCUAACUUCACAAGGCUUAGUGAGGGGAGAGAGAGCAAACUGAGUACUAUGCUGAGUUUGGCUGGGAAGGGGAGUUUCUGGGAAAGCUUUCCUAAAGCAAAGAAUUUGAAGCUGAAACCAAAAGAAGAAAUAGAAGACCACCAAACAAAGUUGUUGGGGGAAGGGCUGUUUAUGUAGAGGCAAACCAUUGAGGGUGGAUCCAAUGUACUACACAGUCCCAGAGCUGAAAGACCAGAAUGGCCAGAAUGAAACCAGCCAGGUGGCAGGACAUAGGGAAGCCUGAAGAGAUCAGCCCCUGAGACCUAGUCUCACAGGCCUUGGAUGUUCCUUGCAGUAUUUUUUAUGAAGCAUAAGAAAUGAAGAAUUAUCUACACAAUGUAUCAGCAAACUUUCUGUAAAGAGGCUAGAUGGUGUGUAUUUUGGGUUUUGUGAUCAUACGGUCUCUGAUAGCCACUCAACUCUGUUGUUGCAAAGCAGUAACAGACAAUAUAUAAACAAGUGGGUGUAACUGUGUUCCAAUAAGAUUUUAUUUAUAGACCCUGACAUUUGAAUUUCAUAUAAUUUUUGUAUGUCAUGAAAUAGUAUUAUUUUGAUUUUUAAAAAAAUCCUACCAGCCAUUUAAAAAUGUGAAAACCAGGAAUACUUUGGUGGCUCAGUGGUUGAGUGUCUACUUUUGGCUCAGGUCAUGAUCCCAGGGUCCUGGGAUCCAUUCCUGCAUCAGGCUGCCUGCGGGGAGCCUGCUUCUCCCUCUGCCUAUGUUUCUGCCUUCUCUCUGUGUCUCUCAUGAAUAAAUAAAAUCCUUUAAAAAAUUAAAUUAAAAACUUUUUAAAAAUGUGAAAACCAUUCUUAGACUCCCAAGCAAUAGCCAGGGAGCAUAGUUAACUGGCCCCUGGCCUACAUAUUCAAGAGCAAUGGUCAAACCAACUAAGG
rnacentral:lncRNA from 1 species